ACAACUUUCAACAACGGAUCUCUUGGCUCUUGCAUCGAUGAAGAACGCAGCGAAAUGCGAUAAGUAAUGUGAAUUGCAGAAUCCGUGAAUCAUCAAAUCUUUGAACGCAAAUUGCACUCUUUGGUAUUUCCGAAGAGUAUGCUUGCUUGAGGGUUGUU
rnacentral:rRNA from 1 species